CGUAGGAGGCGAGCGUUAUCCGGAUUCACUGGGCGUAAAGCGCGUGCAGGUGGCUUGGUAAGUUAGGCGUGAAAUCUCCCGGCUCAACUGGGAGAGGUCGUCUAAUACUACCGGGCUUGAGAGCAGAAGAGGAAGAUGGAAGUCCCGGUGUAGUGGUGAAAUGCGUAGAUAUCGGGAGGAACACCAGUGGCGAAGGCGAUCUUCUGGUCUGUUUCUGACACUCAGACGCGACAGCUAGGGUAGUAAACGGGAUUAGAGACCCCGGUAAUCCUAGCCGUAAACGAUGUGAACUUGGCGUUGGUGGGUUAAACUCCAUCAGUGCCGCAGCAAACGCGAUAAGUUCACCGCCUGGGGACUACGGCCGCAAGGUUA
rnacentral:rRNA from 1 species